CGGUGGGAUGCAGCGUGCUGCGGUUCGUUCCCGGGACGCAAAACUGACGGCUCCGGACGAAAGCGUGCAGCAAGCGCCUGGACACGCCCCUGCUCGCUCUUCCCACAUCGCGGCCACGCGCCUGCAUGGCUGCAGGCAAUCAGCAUUCGGCGCACCUGGAUUUGAUGAGGGCAGACGGCAUAGAGAUCAGCGGACCCGAAGAUCCAGUGCCGGAACGUAGUUCACUCUGUGUAUGUUCCCUCCGAAUACAGUGAUCGAGCGGUGCGCCUAGACUUCCCUCCGGAUUUUGGACUGCUUCCCUCGAUCCUCGACCCCCGCUCGGGCACGGACCUCCACACCUCUCUCCAGCCCCCGACCUCUCGCUUGCCCACGGACUGUCUUCCUGCCUUGCCCCUCCGGACUUUUGAAGGAUUCAUCCAACACGCACAAACAACACCCACUGGCAGGUCAGGGGGCUUUUGGAGACGUGCUGGCUGACAGUCUGGCGGAAAACUCACCUGGAUCGAUCACGCCAACAGACCUGGAACUUUCGGGACACACCUGCAACGGUCAACGUUGCCCAGCGCCGAGCAUCCUUCCAAAGAAAUCCUAUUAAUAUCCAUUAAAGUUCCCAAUGUCACCUUCCUUUGAGGCGGAGACAAGAAGAGAAAGGUAGAGUUAGAGGAGGGAGACGGGAAGCACACCAGCGGCAGCGAGCACAACAAUGAAGUGCAGGAGCUGCUUGAACCCGCGACCUGUAAUAAUCUCUUUAGACGCACCACUGGGUAACGCUUCUUCUUCUUCUUCUUCCUCACUGAUCUCAGAUCAGUGCGCGUAUCAGUAGAUUACUAUCAAAGAUGUCUCCAGGGCCCAGAGCUUCACGCUCGCUAACGCGUCAGCUCCGCCCACUUUUCAGCAGCCUCGCUAUCGCGCUGACCUUUCACCUUUGAAUUUCCAUGAAACAAUGCAGGGUUGCUCUGAAGGGGCACACAAACUGUAGUCAUCGUCAGCAGUCAAUUACAUGCUGGACCUGCAGUGGGGUGUUGCCAUGGCGACUUCAGCUCACGCAAGCGCCGAUGUCAACAGGGCAGAGAUGUCAACAGGGGGUGUGUGUAGGAAAGUGUAUGUCGUGGUUUAGGUAGGCUCAUUUUAUGUAGGUCGGCUUUCUGUGGUUGAGUGAGAUAGGCUGACGGGAGUUGGUGAAUGGUAAAUUUCUAUAUUACCCAAAAGAAAACUGGUUCUGUUUCAUAAUAUUCUACCCAAACGUUUAAUAAAGUCAAAUACAAAUAAGGCAACAAGAAAAUUUGGCAAAAAUAGUGCUCGAUACCGUGGUAGAGCGUAAUAUGUAUGUGUGGGAAAAAAUCACAAGACUAUUUCAUCUCUACAGGCCUGUUUCAUGAGGGAUUUCCUCAAUCCUCAGGAGAUUUUAAUGGAAGCAUUCACAUACCAUGGUUUAUAUAGGGCACAGAGCGGGUGGGUACAGGCAGGC